UACGAAGGGGGCAAGCGUUGCUCGGAAUUAUUGGGCGUAAAGCGCGCGUAGGCGGCUUUGCAAGUCGGAUGUGAAAUCCCUCGGCUCAACCAAGGAAGUGCAUCCGAAACUGCAGAGCUUGAGUACUUAAGAGGAUCGCGGAAUUCCCGGUGUAGAGGUGAAAUGCGUAGAUAUCGGGAGGAACACCAGUGGCGAAGGCGGCGAUCUGGGAAGAUACUGACGCUGAGGUGCGAAAGCGUGGGGAGCAAACAGG
rnacentral:rRNA from 1 species